AUUGAACGCUGGCGGCAUGCCUUACACAUGCAAGUCGAACGGUAACAGGUCUUCGGAUGCUGACGAGUGGCGAACGGGUGAGUAAUACAUCGGAACGUGCCCGAUCGUGGGGGAUAACUGAGCGAAAGCUUUGCUAAUACCGCAUACGAUCUACGGAUGAAAGCAGGGGACCGCAAGGCCUUUCGCGAACGAAGAGGCCGAUGGCAGAUUGGGUAGUUGGUGGGAUAAAAGCUGACAAAGCCGACGAUCUGUAGCUGGUCUGAGAGGACAACCAGCCACACUGGGACUGAGACACGGCCCAGACUCCUACGGGAGGCAGCAGUGGGGAAUUUUGGACAAUGGGCGCAAGCCUGAUCCAGCAAUGCCGCGUGCAGGAUGAAGGCCUUCGGGUUGUAAACUGCUUUUGUACGGAACGAAAAGGCUCUGGUUAAUACCUGGGGCUCAUGACGGUACCGUAAGAAUAAGCACCGGCUAACUACGUGCCAGCCGCCGCAGUAACAC
rnacentral:rRNA from 1 species